AGCAGAGUGGCUUAGUGGAUGAAGCAUGGGCCCAGGAGUCAAAAGGAUCUGGGUUCUAAUCCCAGUUCUGCCA
rnacentral:tRNA from 1 species